GAAACAACCUUGAUUUAUGGCAGUCCCAUCACCUCGGGCCUUUCACUGUGUCCCACGCUAGAGCAAGCUUUGGCUCUGAACCACUGACUGGCCUCUAUCCGUAGGCUGCUGGCAGUGAAGUGGGUUGCACAGUA
rnacentral:snoRNA from 1 species